rnacentral:rRNA from 1 species
UAGAGUUUGAUCAUGGCUCAGGAUGAACGCUGGCGGCGUGCUUAACACAUGCAAGUCGAAUGUAGCAAUACAUGGCGGACGGGUGAGUAACGCGUGAGCAAUCUGCCCAUAUCUGGGGGAUAACAGUUGGAAACGACUGAUAAUACCGCAUAACAUGGUUUGAAGGCAUCUUCUUUCCAUCAAAGAUUUAUCGGAUAUGGAUGAGCUCGCGUCUGAUUAGCUUGUUGGUGAGGUAACGGCUCACCAAGGCGACGAUCAGUAGCCGACCUGAGAGGGUGAUCGGCCACAUUGGAACUGAGACACGGUCCAAACUCCUACGGGAGGCAGCAGUGGGGAAUAUUGGGCAAUGGAGGAAACUCUGACCCAGCAACGCCGCGUGAAUGAUGAAGGUCUUCGGAUUGUAAAGUUCUUUUCUAAGGGAAGAAGAAAGUGACGGUACCUUAGGAAUAAGCCUCGGCUAACUACGUGCCAGCAGCCGCGGUAAUACGUAGGAGGCAAGCGUUAUCCGGAAUGACUGGGCGUAAAGGGUGCGUAGGUGGUUUGACAAGUUGGUAGCGUAACUCCGGGGCUCAACCUCGGCACUACUACCAAAACUGUCGGACUUGAGUGCAGGAGGGGCAAAUGGAAUUCCUAGUGUAGCGGUGGAAUGCGUAGAUAUUAGGAGGAACACCAGUGGCGAAGGCGAUUUGCUGGACUGUAACUGACACUGAGGCACGAAAGCGUGGGGAGCAAACAGGAUUAGAUACCCUGGUAGUCCACGCUGUAAACGAUGAAUACUAGGUGUAGGGGG